rnacentral:rRNA from 1 species
UUCGCCAGGGAACAACGAGCCCCAGCUUAAAACCCAAAGGACUUGGCGGUGCUUUAGACCCCCCUAGAGGAGCCUGUUCUAGAAUCGAUACUCCCCGUUCAACCUCACCCCCUCUUGUCAUUCCCGCCUAUAUACCACCGUCGUCAGCUUACCCUGUGAAGGAUUAAUAGUAAGCAAAAGUGGCAAAGCCUUAAACGUCAGGUCAAGGUGUAGCGAACGUGGGGGGAAGAAAUGGGCUACAUUUGCUGACCCAGCAAACACGAACGCUGCACUGAAAUAAGCAUCUGAAGGAGGAUUUAGCAGUAAGAGAAGAAUAGAACGCCUCUCUGAAGACGGCCCUGAAGCGCGCACACACCGCCCGUCACUCUCCCCAAAACGAAAAACAGAUAAAUAAUAAGAUAACUAUUAACAAGGGGAGGCAAGUCGUAACAUGGUAAGUAUACCGGAAGGUGUACUUGGAAAACC